CUAAAAACACAAUCCCCACCCCUCCAAUCCAACCCCACCCCAUUGGCAUCGAUGUCACAUGUUACUAUCCCCGCCUUGACACGUGUCACACUAGACCCUCGACAAGAGUACACUCCCUCCAUCUAUCGUGGCAAACAUCCGUUGACCCCCCCCCCCUUCCGGGAGCGGCUGGUCACUUCAAAGUACCCAUUCAACUUAACGCCUCGGGCAACGCUGUUCGUCUAGCACUAGCCAUUAUCAAGGUAUAAUCUCCCUUGAUUUUGGCCGAGCUCCGAUAAUCUCCCCUUCAUAAUCCACCUGGCCACCUGGGCUGAUUUCCUGGACUUUCAACUCGCGCCUUCGCGCAAUGUCUAUCUCCCGGAAACUCUCGUCACGGUCAAGCGUGGACCCCCAUUGUCAAAGACGUCAGAUAGUCUAGACCACCUUUGCACCUAUCUCCCGCCACUCACCCCCCCCCCCCUUUUAUCCACGUGUACAUGGACAAACUUCAUCGUCCGAUCUCAUUCACGCUGGAAAGCCCACAGGGAGCACAUCUAACUCUUGCUUGAGCUCUAGACUAUUUUCAUUCCCUUAUUUCACUUUGGAUUGGUGGUAUGUAACUUUGUAAAGUGCUUGAGAACCAUUUUACUUAGUAAUGUAUAUAUAUAUUUGUGCAUUUAUUACUACAUUAUUUGUGUACCUAUUUGUGCAUUCUUAUCAUGGAUAAUGUAAGUAGAUUACUGUAUACUUAUAUUUUAUAUCAUGACUUUUGUGGCUAAAUGUUCAAACCAGCUGGACUAGAGUUUAUUAACAAUUCUUACCAGAUGUAUUUAGCUCUUUAACUAUUAUUGUUUUAACUCUGAUAUAUUAGCGCUCAGCACGAGCCUUCAACGUAGUAUCAUUGAUUAAUUCCUUGGCAGGGAAUUAUCCAAACAUUUAUGUAAACAUGUCUUAUUACUGAGUAUGUAUUUACUUAUGCUCUAUGUUUACUUAUAUGAGAGCAUGGGCGAGUAUCAGACGUUGAUCUCCCCUUCCCCUUUCAUCUCAUUUAUCUAAGCGAUAUAGGUACUUGCUACUCACCGUGAUUGGUGAACGACACUUGUAUUACUUAUCAUAUAUCACUUAUUACUGUUUGUUAUUUCCCUUUAUGGGAGUCCCCAUUAUUAUUGUUAUCUCCCUUGAUGGGACACUAUUCAUUUGUUAGGUCCCUUUGAUAAAUAUGAAACUAGCUUAUGGUUUCUAUACAUCAGUCUGAAGAUGUCCUUCACGGAAAGGCAUCUACCUCCCAGUGUUAUCGUUAUGGCUAAACCGACGCAUACAUCAUAUCGUUGCAGCUUUUAUCUAUAGGCUACACCCGCCUGAAAUCUUAGCAACCUAAAGCUGAUAGCAGAUUUGCUGGCACCAGAUCUGUAGACAUCAGACCUACUCAUCAUUCAAGAGUCCAAGCAACAACGCUAGCCACAGACUCGUCACUGGCUUAACUGAUUGGUAGACGCAGCCUAGCUCUGCAACCAUACAAGUUGGACUGCACACGGAGCCUGGAUCCACUACGCCAGCCCACCAGCAGACAGCAUCAGUAUCAGCCACACCAGUCUCACCAGUGCAGCACCGGACCAAAAGCUAAGCAACCAGCCUAAUGACACUCAGACCACUUGGUUCUAAUAUCUGAUGAUGAUAGUCUCCUAAUGUAAAUACGCUAGAUCCCAUUCUAGCAUCUGUACAGCAUUUCACCUUUCAUUAUCUUAUGUUGUAUAAUAAACUGUACAUAAGUUUACAUCUAAAUAUAGUAUUUGUUGCCUGCAUUAUAACGCUGUGCUUAUAGUUUAUAUGUGCAAGUAAGGAUUCUCAAACUAUAAAAUCCCCUAGACACCCAAAACGGCCAAUAUCUUAAUCCGACUUGUCACAAUGGCGAGCCUCGUCCGGGAUUUACCCAACUAAUACUGCAAGCACAGCAGGCAACUCCCCAGUAUUUUAACUAUCAUCAUUGUUAGAGUACAAGUCUAUCGAGUGUCAUUUAGAGCUAUUUAAUUUUCUAAAUUUGUAUUGCUGUAAUUGUACUUCUUUUACAGGUUCUUAAGCACCAAACAAAGGUUAAUACCACCUUUCCUGUAACUCUUAAGUAAUUGCUUUCAGCAUCUCCAUCAUCAUCUCCACCUCUUACUCUACCUUCCGCUUUUCCCCUUCAUUACCCACCCCUCACCAUCCUAGCACCCCUCACCACCAUGGCAAGUGGCACACGCUCUAAAGCGGACUCUGACAUGAAACAAAAAAUAGCUGAACUCAGAGAACUCGCGGCCGUCAUAUAUGACGAUGAGGCAAAGCAGAAAGAAUAUGUGAGGGCAGAAUUGGAGAAGGAGAAGAAAAGGGAACAUGAAAUAGCUAUGGAAAGAGAGAAAAGGGAAGCUGAAGUAGCUAUAGCUAUAGCUAAAGAAAAGGAAAUCACGGAGCGAGAAAGGGAAAAAGAAAAACAAAUAACUGAGAGAGAAAGGAUAGCCGCGGAGAAAGAGAACGGAACCGCCAGUCAAGCUUCCUCCGGAUCUCGCCCGGCUAGCCCUGCCUCCCAGCAAAGUUCCUCAAACGGCCUACCCCACAUGCCAAUGGAGCACUUCGACGACAAGACAGAGAACAUCGAAGUUUAUCUUGUCCGUUUCGAAGAAGUUGCGAGCUACUACGGUCUGCCAGAGGAGAAAUGGUGCUUCCGGCUAUCCCAAUGCCUCCGAGGCAAAGCCUACGAAGUAUACUCUAAACUCCACUCCGGCCAGCGAGAAGACUACGCAGCCCUCAAACAGGCGCUACUCGUCCAAUUCGAGCUGACUGCCGAGGCUUACCAAAAGAAAUUCAGGACAUCCCGCCUAGAGCGCCGAGAGACCUACGGUAAUCUCUGCGACAGGUUGGACAAAUACCUGAAGAGGUGGCACACUCUCAGCGAACUGCCAGAGACCUUGGACGGCCUAAUGAGCCUCAUACUCGCAGAGCAGUUGCUAGAGUGCCUGCCGAACGAAGUCAAAAUCUUUGUUAAGGAGCAGCAAGCCAAUACACCCGCUGACAUAGCGUCAGCUGCAGACCGGUACGCGACUGCCCGCAAAGACGUUAAGGACAUCAAAAGAAAGACCUCAGCCUCGGACAAACCAGAGGACCAGCCCACUUCUUCCAACAAACACGCUCCUUCUAGCCAACCCUCUCCUUUUACUAAACCUCAUCACCAAAAAGCACCAAUCCAACGACCAGCCACGCCUACUAGCUACGACAGACGAAGCCACCCGCCUCGACAUGGCCAGACCAAUAACCAUCACCGUGACCGGAACAGCACGAGUGAUCACAGGCCCAAUCGACAGCAUCAGGCCCCACGUACUGUGUCAGCCAUGACUGAGCUCCCUGAACCCUCUUUGCAUAAUCAGCCAUCGCCUCUUGAUGAGGAAGAGGAGGACUAUUACGUCAUAUCAGCGCUGACCGUGGCCCCUGAACCCAAUGCAUGUGGCCUUACCCAACCGAUACCGCCUCACCCCAUCGUAUCACCCCCUGGGGUAGAGAUUAUUCUGAUUAACGGAUCUCCUGUUCAGGCACUAUUCGAUUCCGGAUGUGAGGUGAGCUCUGUCAUCAGCAAAGCACUGGUCGACCCAUCGGAUCUCACUGGUGGAUCAGUGACGGUUCAAUCUCUAGACCGUGGCAUUCCUCCGAAGGUGUAUCCUAUCGCUCGGGUCCACGUAGAAUGCAAGUAUGUACAUGGCACCAUUGAUGCAGUAGUCAUGGACUCGCCAGUAUACGACUUUGUUCUAGGCUCCAGGUACAUACCUCUAGGAGUUGUCAAUAAACCAUACUUCUCUCUGCCUGUCGGUAGAAUGACAAAGCAGAAACGUGGCAGCUACCAGCCGGUGGGAAGCCCUGGUCGCCACUCUAACCAACCCUUCACUGGCUCCUCAGCCAAGCUCAAGCCGCUCCACCCAGGCACUGACACUGCCAGGAAAUCACGAGGUAAGCAUAAUAACUACACUCGUGAGGGUUCGUUUAACCCUUGCUCCUCAGCAAUCAAACCGCUCAACCCUGGCACUGGCACUGCUAGGAAGUCACGAGGUAAGCGAAAUACCUACACUCGUGAGAGUUCUUGUAACUCCCGCUCUUCAGCUAUCAAACCACUAAUGCCUGGCACUGAUCCUGCCAGGAAGUCACAGAGGAAAGUGAACUUGCACUCUCGUGAAAGUGGGCCUCAUCACGGCUCCACCCACACUAUAAGGCCACUCUUCCCUGACAUUGACCGUGUCUGGAAAAUUAGAGGUAAGCCGAUAAAUCGCACUCACGAAGAAACGCCUCACUAUGGAUUUAGAGAUAAGCCCCGUCCAACAUACGCGCAUUGGGCCCUCCGCCAUAACGUCCAUCCCACUUACUGGUCUGCCCCAAGAAGGAGAUGUACCCAAUCCUAUCCACCCGGCCUAUUUCCCCAGGUUUCCAGAAUUGCCCCUUCCACGUGGCAAUCCGCCUGCGGACAGAACAUAGGCGACAGCGGACUCUUAGGACGGACACCCCUCUGGACCUGGGCAACCUCUUAACUACUGGGAAAAUUUUCUUAAAUGCUACGACCGACAAUAGACGAAACUUGAGCGAUACCAACGUGAGCACUUUAUAGAUCUUUUAGCAAAGACCUAUCUUACGCAGGGAGGGUUGUGACGAACCGUUUUAGCUCACUCGAGGUAUCACUCAGGUCUAAGCAUUUAAUUAAUUUAUUUACUCGCUAUUAAUCAUCUAUUUUAUUAAUUUAGCCAAUCAAGCGCUAAAAACACAAUCCCCACCCCUCCAAUCCAACCCCACCCCAUUGGCAUCGAUGUCACAUGUUACUAUCCCCGCCUUGACACGUGUCACACUAGACCCUCGACAAGAGUACACUCCCUCCAUCUAUCGUGGCAAACAUCCGUUGACCCCCCCCCCUUCCGGGAGCGGCUGGUCACUUCAAAGUACCCAUUCAACUUAACGCCUCGGGCAACGCUGUUCGUCUAGCACUAGCCAUUAUCAAGGUAUAAUCUCCCUUGAUUUUGGCCGAGCUCCGAUAAUCUCCCCUUCAUAAUCCACCUGGCCACCUGGGCUGAUUUCCUGGACUUUCAACUCGCGCCUUCGCGCAAUGUCUAUCUCCCGGAAACUCUCGUCACGGUCAAGCGUGGACCCCCAUUGUCAAAGACGUCAGAUAGUCUAGACCACCUUUGCACCUAUCUCCCGCCACUCACCCCCCCCCCCUUUUAUCCACGUGUAUAUGGACAAACUUCAUCGUCCGAUCUCAUUCACGCUGGAAAGCCCACAGGGAGCACAUCUAACUCUUGCUUGAGCUCUAGACUAUUUUCAUUCCCUUAUUUCACUUUGGAUUGGUGCUUUUAUCUAUAGGCUACACCCGCCUGAAAUCUUAGCAACCUAAAGCUGAUAGCAGAUUUGCUGGCACCAGAUCUGUAGACAUCAGACCUACUCAUCAUUCAAGAGUCCAAGCAACAACGCUAGCCACAGACUCGUCACUGGCUUAACUGAUUGGUAGACGCAGCCUAGCUCUGCAACCAUACAAGUUGGACUGCACACGGAGCCUGGAUCCACUACGCCAGCCCACCAGCAGACAGCAUCAGUAUCAGCCACACCAGUCUCACCAGUGCAGCACCGGACCAAAAGCUAAGCAACCAGCCUAAUGACACUCAGACCACUUGGUUCUAAUAUCUGAUGAUGAUAGUCUCCUAAUGUAAAUACGCUAGAUCCCAUUCUAGCAUCUGUACAGCAUUUCACCUUUCAUUAUCUUAUGUUGUAUAAUAAACUGUACAUAAGUUUACAUCUAAAUAUAGUAUUUGUUGCCUGCAUUAUAACGCUGUGCUUAUAGUUUAUAUGUGCAAGUAAGGAUUCUCAAACUAUAAAAUCCCCUAGACACCCAAAACGGCCAAUAUCUUAAUCCGACUUGUCACAAAUACCACACACUAUU